rnacentral:rRNA from 1 species
UACAGAGGUCUCAAGCGUUGUUCGGAUUCAUUGGGCGUAAAGGGUGCGUAGGUGGCUUGGUAAGUCGGAUGUGAAAUCCCGGGGCUCAACCCCGGAACUGCAUUCGAUACUGCUAGGCUGGAGUACUGGAGAGGAGAUUGGAAUUUACGGUGUAGCAGUGAAAUGCGUAGAUAUCGUAAGGAAGACCAGUGGCGAAGGCGGAUCUCUGGACAGUUACUGACACUGAGGCACGAAGGCCAGGGGAGCAAACGGG